rnacentral:rRNA from 1 species
CAAUAGCGUAUAUUUAAGUUGUUGCAGUUAAAAAGCUCGUAGUCGGAUUUUGGCUGAGAACGAUCGGUCCGCCGUUAGGUGUGCACUGAUUGGUCUCAGCUUCCUGGUGAGGAGGUGUGCUUCACGGCCACUUAGUCACCGUGGUUACUUUGAAAAAAUUAGAGUGUUCAAAGCGGGCUUACGCUUGAAUAUAUUAGCAUGGAAUAACACCAUAGGACUCCUGUCCUAUUUCGUUGGUCUCGGGACGGGAGUAAUGAUUAAGAGGAACAGUUGGGGGCAUUCGUAUUUCAUUGUCAGAGGUGAAAUUCUUGGAUUUAUGAAAGACGAACUUCUGCGAAAGCAUUCGCCAAGGAUGUUUUCAUUGA